rnacentral:rRNA from 1 species
UACGAAGGGGGCUAGCGUUGCUCGGAAUCACUGGGCGUAAAGCGCACGUAGGCGGACUCUUAAGUCAGGGGUGAAAUCCUGGAGCUCAACUCCAGAACUGCCUUUGAUACUGAGAGCCUUGAGUUCGGGAGAGGUGAGUGGAACUGCGAGUGUAGAGGUGAAAUUCGUAGAUAUUCGCAAGAACACCAGUGGCGAAGGCGGCUCACUGGCCCGGUACUGACGCUGAGGUGCGAAAGCGUGGGGAGCAAACAGG